GGAAUAUAAGAAUCCGUUUAUUAAUUUUUAACUAAAAAAAUUAAGAACUGAUUCUUAAAACUCUUAUUUAAGAACCAGUUCUUAGUUUUUUUAGUUAAAAGUUAAGAGACGGGUUCUUAUAUUCC
rfam:Brassica napus, WGS project CCCW01000000 data, contig: 9108